UUCUGGAUGGACAGCAAGGACUUUCCAAGUAGGCUCCCCCCAACUCACUGUCAGCUUUCCAAGCACUCAUCUCUUCUUUUUCAUGUAUAGACAGCAGUAAGUUUUCCCUUAUGCCACACAACCUUCUUUACCUUAGCAACUGUGUGCUUUCCAGCUUGCGGGGUAGAACUUGAUGAGCCAGCAAGUGUGUGGCGCUUGGGCUGCUUCUGAUCAUAGCUUGAAAGCCCUGUGCAGCAUGAAGGAAAGAGCUCUCAGGUUUGCUGUUGUUGCUGAAGGCUUAGGAUGGGAUAUUUGCUUGGAGGCUGAAAGUAUUCUUCCUCUUGCUCUCUGUUUUAUUAUGUAAAAGAGCCAAGCGUGAUUAACGAUACCAUGGUCCUGUUGUUGUGAUGUGACACAGGACUGUGAGGUUGUGUUUUGUGGCUCUGAUGCCCAGUGGUGUCUCUGACGCGUGCAAUAAAUAUUCUCUGCAGCAGCAUUCCUGACCUCCCAGCAGAGCAUCUCUCAUUGCUUUUCUUCUGCUGUGGCAGGAGCAGCACAGUUCAGCCUCACACCUGCAUUUUAGCUUUAAAGCACACUGGAGAUCUCCAGAGCCAUUAGCAGGGUAGAGGCCACCUCCAGGUAUGCUGCUGCCCCACUUGCUUCUGGUUUUCAACAGAAAUACACUGUGCUCUUGGCAAGUGCAGCUGCUCCAGAUGGUGCUGGGAAAAGUGCAAAUGAGAGCUCUGAUUCCAGCCCUUCUUCUCUUUAAUGAAUCCUAUCCAGCUCUCUAGUGCAGUGGAUUUUGUUGGUUGGGUCUAUUGUUUUGUUUUGUUUUGUUUUGUUUUUUGUUUUUAAAGGGGCUUUUAAAAUGCAUCCCCCUUCUUUCUGCUACCCCUGACUCUGCAUCACGAGUUUAUGACCUUCAGCUCAUCUUCCCUCACUGGGAAGCAUGCUGUAGGGUUUUGCCAUCUUGUGCCUCUGCCUUCCAUGUUGCUGUACUCUCUCAUAGCCUGCAGAAUUUGGAUGUAAUCCAUCCAUGGGAUGUCCAGCUGCCCAGUGCUGGGGUCAGCUGCCAGUUUGGGGACCUCAUGGUGGACCAGGUGGCUCAUGGGGUUUGCUGUGUCCUCUUGCAAAGCUGUGGUGGAUGAGCAUGGAGGAUGGAAGGAGAUCCUUGUGGACACUGCCUGGACCAGAAUUUAGUUGAACAAGUUUUGCAAGAGGAUCUGCUACAGCCAAAGAAAGCACCUGCUGCAGGUCCUGCUGCACCCUGAUGGGAUGGGUUUGGCACUGUCAGCCAACACCAACACAUCCAUCACCAGCAGUGUUCAUGGCAUUUGUGGCAUGUCACUGUUGCAGGAAGAAAAAUAAGUUUGGAGCUCUCGGUGGUCCCAGAGUCUGCAGUGCAGUGUUGAUUGAAAGUGCUAUGGUACAAGAUGGGUCAUCACCUGCUGCAGCCUGUUGUGCUCCUGCUGGACUCACAUCUCAAGUGGGCACAUGGUUUGGAGAACCAAGGGUUGGCAGCUGGCAAGGAACAGCCAUUGUAAUGAUGCUUUUCAACGCUUCCAAAAACUUCCGUGAGGUUUUUCAGCAGUAGCAACCGAGUAGCUGUUGAUAAUGCAGAUGUGGGGUGGGAAGGGGUGAUAAAAUGAUCUCACUGAAAAAUGAGGGUGAGAGGUGCUGGCACGUUGCUUACUGUCACAUCUCACCGUGAGAGAUGUUCUGUGUGAGAUGCAACCACAGACCUGAACACAGUGCAAAAAAUCUGAGAGCAAUGGGAGCCAACUUCUGCCUCAUUCUGCAGAGCAAAGGCACCGAGUUGCUUGUUUCGUUUCCAGGGCUGGCUCUUGGGUAGGCAGCAGCAGGCAGAUGCUUUCACCUACGCUCAAACGCGCCGAGCAGAGAGCAGCACUUCCACAUCUCUCCUUGGAGAAGUCAGCACUGUGACAUCUCAUAGCAGCGCUGGCAGAGGGGCUGUAUCUUCUGGGAAGGGCCACAUCACCAAGAGUGUGGCAGUGCAACUCCAACCUGUGGGAAAGAGAUGCCAUAGUUUGAUGCUUGUUGGGCUGAGUGUGGGCACCUUUUGUGCCCAGAGCCAGGAGCGCUGGCCCCAAAUGGGCAAACUGAGCUGAAAUUCAAUAAUUUGGACUCACCUUGAUAUUCUGCUGAUGUUUUUAGUUCUCCUCACGCAAUCGUAGUUCCAAAUUGCUAAGGAAAAGUAACUGUGCUCACAUCUUGCUCUGCAGAGAACUGUUUUCACCCAGCAGGUGUUUCUGUAUACCAGCAUGUAACUUCUGUCUGCAAAUAAAAGAGAAAGUUGGCAUUGCGUUUCA